UGGGGAAUAUUGGACAAUGGGCGAAAGCCUGAUCCAGCCAUGCCGCGUGUGUGAAGAAGGUCUUCGGAUUGUAAAGCACUUUAAGUUGGGAGGAAGGGCAGUAAGCGAAUACCUUGCUGUUUUGACGUUACCGACAGAAUAAGCACCGGCUAACUCUGUGCCAGCAGCCGCGGUAAUACAGAGGGUGCGAGCGUUAAUCGGAUUUACUGGGCGUAAAGCGUGCGUAGGCGGCUAAUUGAGUCGGAUGUGAAAUCCCCGAGCCUAACUUGGGAAUUGCAUUCGAUACUGGUUAGCUAGAGUGUGGGAGAGGAUGGUAGAAUUCCAGGUGUAGCGGUGAAAUGCGUAGAGAUCUGGAGGAAUACCGAUGGCGAAGGCAGCCAUCUGGCCUAACACUGACGCUGAGGUACGAAAGCAUGGGGAGCAAACAGG
rnacentral:rRNA from 1 species